rnacentral:rRNA from 1 species
UACAGGGGGGGGCAAGCGUUGUUCGGAAUCACUGGGCGUAAAGGGGAGCGUAGGCGGCGUGGUAAGUCAGAUGUGAAAUCCCGGGGCUCAACCCCGGAACUGCAUCCGAUACUGCCAUGCUAGAGGAUUGGAGAGGUAGCUGGAAUUCUUGGUGUAGCAGUGAAAUGCGUAGAGAUCAAGAGGAACACUCGUGGCGAAAGCGAGCUACUGGACAAUUCCUGACGCUGAGGCUCGAAGGCUAGGGUAGCGAAAGGG